GACGAACGCUGGCGGCGUGCCUAACACAUGCAAGUCGAGCGAGCGGAGUUCUUCGGAACAAAGCUAGCGGCGGACGGGUGAGUAACACGUGGGCAACCUGCCUCAUAGAGGGGAAUAGCCUCCCGAAAGGGAGAUUAAUACCGCAUAAGAUUGUAGCUUCGCAUGAAGUAGCAAUUAAAGGAGCGAUCCGCUAUGAGAUGGGCCCGCAGCGCAUUAGCUAGUUGGUGAGGUAACGGCUCACCAAGGCGACGAUGCGUAGCCGACCUGAGAGGGUGAUCGGCCACAUUGGGACUGAGACACGGCCCAGACUCCUACGGGAGGCAGCAGUGGGGAAUAUUGCACAAUGGGGGAAACCCUGAUGCAGCAACGCCGCGUGAGUGAUGACGGCCUUCGGGUUGUAAAGCUCUGUCUUCAGGGACGAUAAUGACGGUACCUGAGGAGGAAGCCACGGCUAACUACGUGCCAGCCGCCGCAGUAAUAC
rnacentral:rRNA from 1 species